AAUUGCAACCCUAGCCUCAUUAAACUAAACACAGUAACGGCGCUCUCGAUCUCCCUUCUCUCUCCUUCGUCUCCUCCGUGCUCCGACAACGCUGUUCUUCCCUCUCGGGCUUCUCCUCUCUUCGCCGAUUACGAUUUCUCUAGACAACCUAGUAGAGAAUCUAUUGGAUUUUGAGUAUGAACUUAAGAAGCCAUACCUAUUAUAUCGGAAUGCAGCUCAAGAAGUUAAUGGUAUAUGGUUUUACAAUGAAGAUGAAUGUGAAGAAGUUGCAAAUCUCUUUAAUAGGAUACUUUCUGAAUACUCAAAGAUACCUCCAAAUGCAGUAAUACCUUCGCUCAAAAGGUCUCAUCUGCUUCUCUAAUAUAUCCUAUUUACUCUUCCUAGGUUGGGCCUUUGACAUUCUUGGUUGGGGAUUCUCCGAUCUAGCAGAAAAACUUACUUCAUGUGAUGUGGUAUCAAAGCACGAACACUUCUAUCAGGUGCUUAAUAAACUAUGUGAAUUUGAGUAAGACAGUUAUUCUAUAGGGUCUGACUUGUUCCUCAGCCUAUAUUCUAAAGGAAUGUUCGUAUUGCCAAUUUUCAAGUUUUAUUUAAUGUGUAUAUUGUUGUUUUUGUUGCAAUUAUUUCGGAUUGUAUUGAGGAUGGAUUUGAUUUACCUACCAGUUUUGGAAGUCUUACAUCAAAAGGCCAAUGAUAUUGGUUGGACCAAGCCUUGGUUCUGCUGUUGCCAUUGAUUUCGUAGUCAUUUAUCCAGAAGCUGUAUGUCCUAUCUAAUAAUUUAAAUUCAGACUAUCCACAACAAGCCAGUUUCUGAGUAAUUUAUUUUACAUUAAGCAAAAUUUUCAUUUAGUAACUCUGGUGUGAACUUAUCAUUCAUUUGCAGUUCAUCUUUUCAGGUGGAAAACCUUGUUUUGAUUGAUGCUAGUGUAUACAGAGGGAACAGGAAACCUAGCAACCUUACCUAGACUUAUAGCAACCUUACCUAUUCCAGGUUCUUGAAUAAUUUGGUCACCAGAAUCUAUCUGAUAAAAAACUCACUAUAUAUGGCUAGAGGAUGAAUAGGUAGAUUUCUUCCUUGUAUUGAAAGUGGACUUAUUCUCAGACACUGGUUCCAUGUACUGAAAUUGAAAUUUCUUGCAGCAUCUCCUACUUUUGCUUGCGUUGUGGCCCUAUGGGGGGUAACACUGCAUCUUCUAUUGUUAUCAAUAAACCCAUAUGGGUACAAAUUCAUUUUAGAUGAGCUUUAUUUGAACAUAGUGGUUGGUGUUUAUUUUAAUAAGAACCAAGCUAAUCUAAGCCACUUGUCCCAAGAGAGAAAAAGAGAACAAAAUUGUUUGAUGUGUUAAAAUUUUAUUAGCAACAAUCAAGUGUUCAUUCAAGUUCUCACUAAAUGAUAUAGUUACUCUCUGGAGCAAUAUGGUGAUCAUCUUGAUAAUCUGUUUGUUUUUUACAGGGUUAGGGUGUUCAGUUGCUAGUUUUGGGAUCAGAAUGUUGUCUGCAAUUCUGACAUCUUCGAAUAUCAAACUGUUCCAUCUUAGUGACAUCCGGAGAAGCUUUCUGGCUUGAGGAAGACCAAGAUCGCACCCUCACAUGCUUCUUUGAUCGAGACCCCAGUCCUCUGGCUCGGCAGGCUCUGUAUCUUCUACG